CUAUGUUUUAAGCAUCAAGCCCCACAAAACAUGGAUCUGUUCCCAUUCGCAAAGAACAUCUUACUUGGAUUUUACCACAAAAGAAGGGGCAAUAUUAAAAUUUCACCCAUGGCACAAUCUUAUGCAAGGAUUUGGCAUUGCACACCUGACUUCUUUCAGAAGUCGAAUAGACACUUUCAGUGACCCUAGGGAGAGAGCAGGAGGCAGCUCUAGGACCAUCUCUCACCCAGGCACCUCACUGCAUGCAGUCUAUCAGAAGCACCCCACAACAGUUCCUUCCUGCAUCCACUCUGAACUAUGUAUCUGCUGGUGGAAUGCUGAUGAGGAGCUGGCCUGUGUGCUGGGCAUAUGCAAUGGAUUCUCUUCAAGCAGAGAUCAAAGUUGCCUUGUUAAAAUGGAACACUAAAAGGUAAGUCUUUGUAGCCAUAGAUGAGUGAGGCAAAGCUACUAACAUAAGGAUUAAAUUGCAAUACAUUGAUUUUGCAUUUAUUACUUAUUGGGUACAUAUCUUAAAAGCAUUUUGAGG
rnacentral:lncRNA from 1 species